AAGUCCCUCGUUUCUUUCGCCCCCUCUCUGUUCGCAAACCACGCCGCCGUCUCGCUCGAUCUUUUCUUGUCCCUCCCGUCGGCCACCUCGAUUGGUCGAGCCCUCCUCUCUCCUCUGUUCCAAGCUCUCCUUGCCGAGGAACAAAGAAGACGAGGACCUGCUCAAGCCCCUGCACUGCAUCCAAUGGGCUGGAUCCGCAUCUCCGGCGGCUGCUAGCUCCGGCGGCGAGAUCUGGUGUGAUGCAUCCGAUGGGCUGGAUUCGCAUCACUGGCGGCUGCUAGCUCCGGCGGCGAGAUCUGGUGUGCUCGUGACUGCUUCACACGUAUCAACGUCAAGAUGAAUUUGAGCAAAAUUUCCCCCGCUCCUCCCAAAUGGCUAUGCAAAAUUUCCCUGGGCUUUCCGUUUUGCCAGGAAUUUUCAGUCCGGGGCAGCCUACCCGGAGUACAUCUCCCCUAGCAACCAAACAAGGCCUUAAUAAUGUAUAUUCAGAGGGGAUUUUAACACCUUCCAAAACUAUUAACAUUUCUUAACACUCUGUCAUGUUUAACGGGCGGACUUGUUUGCCUUUUGGAGUUGGUUAGCACUCCAAGUGCGAUAUUUAACAUCUUGCUACCGUACCAUUGUCGUCAAGUUAUAUUCAAAAGUUUGACUCUGUUUGUUAGAUCUUUCAUACACCUUUUCACUUUACAUCUGUAAAACUAGCAUAGAAUGGGUACAAAAUGGUUUGAUGGAGAAUGAUAUGUCAUAUGAAUAAGAAAGCAGUAUCAUUUUUAUCUAAAAGUGUUGCUUCUUGCAGGUAUGAAGAACUGACUCUACCAGGGAACAUCAUGGAUAUGGAGAUGGAGCACCCAUGCUUUUCAUAGAUAUAGAUACUGAUACUGUCAGGUUCCGGGGAAGCUUCUGUCUGAACUUCUUGCACUCAUCUUGACAAGGAUUUGGAUGAAUGGUAUGUCAAUGUCAACCUAGAUGAUGUUGACUUCUUCUGCAUUGAGCAUCAUCAUCAAGCUCCAAGAUCCAUAUAGCUCACAGGUUAGAAGAAAUAAGAUCGACCUUCUGCAAAAAAGAACAUGAAUUGUGCUAAGUUGCGAUGAUGUUGAUGGGAGAAAUUAUUCAUGACAAGUAUCUCGUAAUUACAAGUUUUUCAUAGACGGUUGUGUUACAUGUCUGUAAUGUGAUAUGUUGAGAUAUCGCAAUUGUGGGUUGCUAUAUUUUCACGUGGAAGGUUAUCUGACGAAGCUCUAUGCUUCAUGUAUGCGAGCUUUUCACCAGUAUUAGUUUUAUGUAUAUUCAAGUGU